rnacentral:rRNA from 1 species
GUUAUAUCUCUUGCUAAUUUAUAUUAUGGAGAAUUUAGUUAUAUUUGAAAAAUAAUUUAUUGAGAUAAUUAAUAGUCAUUGUUGAUGAAUAUAGGUUAUAUGAGCUAAAGAAAAGAGUACUGUGAAGGAAAGAUUUAAGUAAAUUUAAAGAAGUAAAGUAGAAAUAUAUUUUUGUACCUUGUGUAUUAGGGAGAGUCAAUAUUGUAUUAAGUAUUAUUAAAUAUCCUGAAAUGAAAAUAGCUAAUUUUAUAAAAAAGUUUUUGUGUUAUAAAAAUUUUGAAUAUAAAAUUAGAAGUGAAAUGUUAGUCGAGUUUUAUAAUAUCCGGUUCUUUAAGAAGUAAAUUUAAUUUGGGUUUUAUAGAUGGGUAAAAUGUAAGAGAAAAAAAUAGAAGGGGAGAGCUUUUUAUUUAAAGGAAAAUAGCUGGAAAUGAAGUAAAAUGGUUAAUCUAAGCUUAGGAGUAGCUAUGUUUAUAGAGUGUUAUAACUAAGGGUAGUUAUUAAAUAUUAUUUUUAUAAAGCUUUAUAGUAAAUAUUAAAGAUUUGUUUGGAAUUUUAUAUGAUAAGGUAAGAUGGGUGUAUUAGUAGAAAUAGAUUGUAUUUGGAUCAGAAAUUAAAUUAAAUAAUAAAGGAAAUUAUUUAAUAGUUAGAUAAUAUAGAGGAAUUUGGCAAAAAUUUUCUUUGCCUGUUUAUCAAAAACAUGUUUGUUUGAAGUUAUAAAGAAUCUGACCUGCCCCCUGAAUGAUGGGUUAAAGGGCCGCAGUAUUAUAACUGUGCAAAGGUAGCAUAAUCAUUAGGUUUUUAAUUGAAAUCUUGUAUGAAUGGUUGGACAAAAGAAAGUCUCUCUUUAUAUUAAAAUUUGAAUUUAACUUUUAAGUGAAAAGGCUUAAAUAUCCUAGAGGGACGAUAAGACCCUAUAAAACUUUACAUUGUAAUUUUAUUUUAAUUGAAUUUAUAAAUAAAGAUUUAAUAAGAUUAUUUGUUGUGUUGGGGAGACAUGAGUAAAAUAUUGUUUUAACUGCUUUAUAAAUAAUACAAUUAUUAGUGCGUAGGUGAGAGAUCCUUUUUAAAGAUUAAUAGAUUAAGUUACUUUAGGGAUAACAGCGUAAUUUCUUUUGAGAGCUCUUAUCGAAAAAGAAGAUUGCGACCUCGAUGUUGAAUUAAAAGUAUCUGUAUAAUGUAGGAGUUAUAUAAGAAGGUCUGUUCGACCUUAAAAAUUUUACAUGAUUUGAGUUCAAACCGGUGUAAGCCAGGUUGGUUUCUAUCUUUUAGGUAAUAAAUUGACUAUUUUAGUACGAAAGGAGUAAAUAGUUAAAAUAAUUUUAUAGUU